rnacentral:misc_RNA from 1 species
UCCGGCUUGUCACCGGCAGUCUCGUCAGAGUGCCCAACUUAAUGAUGGCAACAGACGAUAAGGGUUGCGCUCGUUGCGGGACUUAACCCAACAUCUCACGACACGAGCUGACGACAGCCAUGCAGCACCUGUGUUCCGGUCCCUUGCGGGAAGAAAUCCAUCUCUGGAAAUCGUCCGGACAUGUCAAGCGUAGGUAAGGUUCUUCGCGUUGCUUCGAAUUAAACAACAUGCUCCACCGCUUGUGCGGGUCCCCGUCAAUUCCUUUGAGUUUUAACCUUGCGGCCGUACUCCCCAGGCGGUUUGCUUAAUGGUUUCCCUCCGCCGCCGAAAGCCUAAGACUUCCGACAGCUAGCAAACAUAGUUUACGGCGUGGACUAC